rnacentral:rRNA from 1 species
CCUACGGGUGGCAGCAGUGGGGAAUAUUGGGCAAUGGGCGCAAGCCUGACCCAGCAACGCCGCGUGAAGGAUGAAGGUUUUCGGAUUGUAAACUUCUGUCGCGAGGGACGAAGAACGACGGUACCUCGUAAGAAAGCCCCGGCUAACUACGUGCCAGCAGUCGCGGCAAUACGUAGGGGGGAAGCGUUGUUCGGAAUGACUGGGCGUAAAGGGAGUGUAGGCGGCCUUGUAAGUUAGAUGUGAAAUCCUACGGCUUAACCGUAGAACUGCAUCGAAAACUGUGAGGCAGGAGGGCAGGAGGGGUGGGUGAAAUUCAUAGUGAGGCGGUAGAGGGCGAGGAAAUUAGGAGGAAAACCAGGGGGGAGGGGGACGCACUGGACUGUAACUGACGCUGAGGCUCGAAAGCGUGGGGAGCAAACAGGAGUAGAUACCCGAGUAGUC